UAUCACCAAAUGCCCCCAGAGGGGCAAAACGGCCCCCACCGAGGACUGCCGCCCUCCAUUUCUGGCUUUCAGCUCGCACUUUGCAGGACCGGACAGUUGCUUAUGGUUUCUGGACACACGUGGGCCGGUCUCAGAAAGCCGCAUCGCUGCUUGGUUCAGCUCUCUCUUCCUAACUCACAGCCAUGUACGGAGGCCUGGCCCAUGCACCCUAAGGGAAGCUUUUCCUCUUGGGUCCCUUGAGUUGGCCUCAGAGACUCCAAGCUGGCAGCAAGCCACCAGCAGGGGCGUCACCUGCUUCCUGGCCCCUGAGAACUCCUGGGGAUGGUUGGUUUGGCUGGGAGCCCACAGAGGGGAGAGGCCGAUGUGGAGGGAGCAGGGCAGCCAUGAGAGAAUGCAGGAAUGGGCCCAGGAAUGUCCUUAGCUUCAUUGGAAACAGAUGCCUGUGGAGGUGGCUGGCUGGGGCCCUGCCUGCCUCGGGCCAGUGUACUUGGCGGCUGCUCCUCCCCACAUCCCCCUCCCUCCCCUCUCCUCCCCACCCCCACAAGCACCACCAGACCAUUAUUUAAGAGAAGGGCUCUGAUUUAAGAUGGCUGAGAUUAAAGAACAUCGGGGAGUAAGGGCCCAUUCAACAUCCUCACGUUAAAGAGGAGAAAUCAAGACUGAAACCAGCAACAGAGCCCAGGAAUCCAGACGGAGAUCACAAACUCGCCUCCUCACGGAGACACGGGCAAGCCUUGGGGGCUCCAGCUGACCUUACAGCGCGUGGAAAGACGCUGCAAGCCCCGCCAGUAGACGCGACACAGAUGAGGUCCCACAGGCUGGGUCUCCUCCAGGGGCGGGGUCUGCUUCCUCUUCCUGGGCACACAGGUCUCAGCCUUCCCCCAUCACGGCAGGCCCUGGGCCCAGGAGGAGGAAGCAGUGGGAGGAGAGAGGUGAUGGGCUUGGGUCUUGGUACAUCGGAGUGUUCAGUGACAACUGGAUUUCAGGACGUGGAUUUGGGUGCGAUAGGCAAAUCUUGCAGCCACCAUCAUACUGGGGUCAUCACGUGGCUCCAGGAGUCAUCAUGAAUUCCUAACCAGACCCUGCCCUACAGCAUUGGGUUUGCCCACAGAGGGUGAUUUUCUUUAGAUCCAUCAUGUGAGCAGUUAGUCACAAGCUCUGACUCUUUCUUAAGCGUUUCAUGCUCUACUGACUGAGCAAGCCGGGCAGAGAGAUUCUGGUUCUUUCUUUUUACAUUCAGGAGUGCAAACAGACUAAUGAAAAUAAUCACAUCUCCCUAAAUCCAAUUAGGAGCUUUGAAAGCUUGGCUAAGCAAAGAUAAGUGUCUUCCCUGAUCGCUCCCUCUAAAUUCUUGUGCCUCUAUGUUCAUGGGAAUAGUGUAGGUGGGAGAGGUACCAGGACUUUUCUUGAUGUCUUCUGGCAUUAAGUUAUGCACUGACGUGUUUAUAAAAAUUAAGAAUUCCCUCAUUGCUCUCUGAAGUAAACCCUUGGUGAGGUGGCUGCCAUGGUUUCCUCAUUGUCAGUCAACCAGCUGAAAGUGAUGAAGUCACAACUAGGAGAUGAAAAAUUACAAGUGUUUUCUGACCUCUCUUCAGCAAAGUAAGCCAUCUCCCCCUCCCCAGCCACUCUACAAGCAGUGGAAGCUGAGGUGCGUCCUAGUGUGAUUGGCUUGGAAACUCCCAAGACCGUUGACUGGGACAGAUAGCAAUUCGCCAGGAGCUGAGGAAUUUCUCAUUCACAUUUAUUAAGCACUGAAUAAUUUCGUAGAUACCAUCUCUUCCUCGGGCCCAGGAGAACUGGACACACUUACGUUUGCCUGUUUCACUGGGUUCCAAAUCUUGUCACUUCUCAGGUCACACUGUGUCCCCAAACCUGCCAGAGUCAUUUGGAAGGAGCCCUGUGACUGGGCUUUCAGUCUCUGAGAUUCGCUGUGCUUUUCUGAGACUGGAAGGGCUUCUCACUGGAAGGGGCGGCUGACGAUGUGCAUGGUGAACUACGAGUUGAGCGAGGAGGCGUUUUCUAGUAGAAUGGCAUCAGGUCCUUCUUCCUUUAGGAAGAUGACUCCGCUCUCCUCUGGGCUGACACUGCACUGUGAAAAUACUUCCUUAAUUGUUCUGGGACUUACACAGUACCUACUUGUACACAUGUAGAGAAGCUACAUCCUGGAUUUCUAGUUAAGCCCAGAAGACUUUCCCAGAAGUCUAGUUCAGAUUUCUAGUUAAGAUUUUAAAUUAAGUAUGUAGUAGCAUCACAGUAGGUCUUCUUUGUGGCACAGAGGAAAGCGGGGACUAUAGAAUGGUUGGAAAAUUAUUUAAUUAUGUUUUUAAAUUAUUAAGCUUAUGACUCCUUUACAUGAAGUUUAUGCUACAAAUGAAGAUAUGGUCUUGACACAACUCAGAACCUGGACUCUGCUGGGUGGAACUAAAGAAUCUAUUGGAACAGCUGGUUCAUGAGUAUUGAUGAAAGAGUGGAUUGUGGCUUCCUGGUCAGGCUGAAAGGCCUGUGAGAGCAUUUCAGGCAUGGAAAGACAAGACUCUGUGACAAAAAAAAAAAAAGAUCCUACACUGAGGAUCUCUGUGAGACCUCAGAGGAAAGAAAGGGUCAUCAAAGGAGACACAAUUCUCUGAAGGGAGAAGAGAACAUCCCCUUUUCUUAUGGCCGUGUCCAAAUACUGACGGAGUCUAUGGUCACAAAAGUCGUCCAUAGCCUUGGCAGCCCAUGACAAGAGCCUUGAUGAUCACUGACAUCAUAAAAAGGAGUGUUAAUUGUUAAAGGAACAACAGUAGUCACUGUGCACUUGCUCCCCAGGUAGGACCUCUGUCCCUAUUGAACUGUAAUAUGAGACUUGACUGCAAAUUCUCUCCCCAAACAGUACUCUAUAUGUUGUGUGGGCUUGGGGGCAAAUUGUUGAAGUCUAUGAUUAGCAUGGAGUUGGUCCUCUGUAUAUAAAGCCAUACUAAAAAUGAUCCAUAAUGAAGAAGAAGAUGGGAGAGGGAAUGGGAGGUGGAAUGGGAGUGGGGGGUGGGGUAUGGGGGAAAGAACCACUACAUUCCUAAAGUUGUAUCUAUGUAAAAAUGCAUUCAUUAAAUAAAAAUUAAAAAUGAAAGAAACUAUAUGUCUUU
ensembl:lncRNA